AUACGUAGGUGACAAGCGUUAUCCGGAUUUACUGGGCGUAAAGGGCGUGUAGGCGGUCUUACAAGUCAGAUGUGAAAUUCCCGGGCUCAACUUGGGCGCUGCAUCUGAAACUGCAAGACUUGAGUGCUGGAGGGGAUAGCGGAAUUCCUAGUGGAGCGGUAAAAUGCGCAGAGAUUAGGAGGAACACCAGUGGCGAAGGCGGCCUGCUGGACGACAACUGACGCUGAGGCGCGAAAGCGUGGGGAGCAAACAGGAUUAGAUACCCUGGUAGUCCACGCUGUAAACGAUGAAUACUAGGUGUGGGGGGACUGACCCCCUCCGUGCCGCAGUUAACACAAUAAGUAUUCCACCUGGGGAGUACGAUCGCAAGAUUGAAACUCAAAUGAAUUGACGGGG
rnacentral:rRNA from 1 species